AAAUUGAAGAGUUUGAUCAUGGCUCAGAUUGAACGCUGGCGGCAGGCCUAACACAUGCAAGUUGAACGGUAACAGGAAGCAGCUUGCUGCUUUGCUGACGAGUGGCGGACGGGUGAGUAAUGUCUGGGAAACUGCCUGAUGGAGGGGGAUAACUACUGGAAACGGUGGCUAAUACCGCAUAACGUCGCAAGACCAAAGAGGGGGACCUUCGGGCCUCUUGCCAUCAGAUGUGCCCAGAUGGGAUUAGCUUGUUGGUGAGGUAACGGCUCACCAAGGCGACGAUCCCUAGCUGGUCUGAGAGGAUGACCAGCCACACUGGAACUGAGACACGGUCCAGACUCCUACGGGAGGCAGCAGUGGGGAAUAUUGCACAAUGGGCGCAAGCCUGAUGCAGCCAUGCCGCGUGUAUGAAGAAGGCCUUCGGGUUGUAAAGUACUUUCAGCGGGGAGGAAGGUGUUGUGGUUAAUAACCGCAGCAAUUGACGUUACCCGCAGAAGAAG
rnacentral:rRNA from 1 species